rnacentral:lncRNA from 13 species
UGAUAAUAUUCUACUUGAAUGAAUGCUAUUUCUAGGUAAAGAGAAUUACCACCUUGAUAAUGGCAAUUGUUCUGAUUCCUUUAUUCGUUUAUUAGAUAAAUCACUAUUGAAUCCGGGCACAGUGGCUGACAUCUGUAAUCCCAGCACUUUGGGAGGCCAAGGCAGGCAGAUUAUCUGAGGUCAAGAGUUUGAGACCAGCCUGACCAACAUGGUGAAACCCCGUCUCUACUAAAAAUGCAGAUAUUAGCCAGGCAUGGUGGCAGGUGCCUGUAAUCCCAGCUACUUGGGAAGCUGAGACAGGAGAAUCACUCCAACCUAGGAGGCGAAAGUUGCAGUGAGCCAAGAGUGCGCCAUUACACUACAGCCUGCGGGACAGAGCAAGACUCUGUCUCAAAAAAAAAAAAUCAUUAUUGAGGCCUCCUAAGUGCCAGGGCCGGCCCCGCAUCUGGCACCGGGAGUGAUCGAGGGAUGUACCAAUGGAUAAGACAAGGUUGUGUAAAACAAAGAAAGGAGCUGGCUCCCAGACAACCCAUUGAUCAGGAAAACCAACUAUUUAUGGAAGAGAAAACUUGAAAGACCAACAAGCACAUGAGAAAAGGCUUGGCCCCAUCAGUCACCGGGCAAAUACAAAUGAAUCAAAUAUUACAUCAUUUUCGUAUAGUCAGAUUGAACUUGAAGAAAACUCAAGGAGACACAGGCAAGAGCAUUCACUGCAGAAGGUUUACAAUGUUGGAAAGUCUGAGACAAAUCUACUCACCAGGAGGGAAAAGGAUAAGUAACCAUAGUUGAUUCUUACAAUCAAAAGCACUGCACUGUGGUAUAAAUGAACAAAACGCAUUUACAAAUUAACAUGAAUAAUUCUCAAGAGUGUGAAUUUGAAUAGAGAUUUAACACAAUUUCAGAAGCCUGGAAGUAGAGGGGAAUGGGAUAGGGUAUUGGGGCUUUAGUAUAUUUGUAUAUUUUUAAUAUUUUAUUUCUUCAAAGAGAA